rnacentral:rRNA from 1 species
GUCUUUGAACGCAAGUUGCGCCCGAUGCCAUUAGGUUGAGGGCACGUCUGCCUGGGUGUCACAU